AUUGAACGCUAGCGGGAUGCCUUACACAUGCAAGUCGAACGAGUGGCGACCGGGUGAGUAAUGUAUCGGAACGUGCCCAGUAGCGGGGGAUAACUACGCGAAACGUAGCUAAUACCGCAUACUAUUGGAGCGGCCGAUAUCGGGUUAGCUAGUGGGGGGGGUAACGGCUCACAAAGGCGACGAUCCGUAGCUGGUUUGAGAGGACGACCAGCCACACGGGGACUGGGACACGGCCCAGACUCCUACGGGAGGCAGCAGGGGGGAAGUUUGGACAAUGGGGGAAACCCUGAUCCAGCCAUCCCGCGUGUGCGAUGAAGGCCUUCGGGGUGUAAAGCACUUGUGGCAGGAAAGCGGUACCUGCAGAAGAAGCACCGGCUAACUACGUGCCAGCCGCCGCGGUAAUAC
rnacentral:rRNA from 1 species